CCUACGGGUGGCAGCAGUGAGGAAUAUUGGUCAAUGGACGCAAGUCUGAACCAGCCAUGCCGCGUGAAGGAUGAAGGCCCUCCGGGUUGUAAACUUCUUUUAUUGGGGAAGAAAAGUAUGGUUUCUACUAUAUCCGACGGUACCCAAGGAAUAAGCACCGGCUAACUCCGUGCCAGCAGCCGCGGUAAUACGGAGGGUGCAAGCGUUAUCCGGAUUUACUGGGUUUAAAGGGUGUGUAGGCGGGCAGUUAAGUCAGUGGUGAAAUCUCCGGGCUC
rnacentral:rRNA from 1 species